rnacentral:ncRNA from 2 species
ACUGGACUUGGAGUCAGAAA